rnacentral:rRNA from 1 species
CUUAAGUGGGGAAUAACGCAUCGAAAGGUGUGCUAAUACCGCAUAAUCUCUGAGGAGAAAAGCAGGGGAUCGCAAGACCUUGCGCUUUUGGAGCGGCCGAUGUCUGAUUAGCUUGUUGGUAAGGUAAAAGCUUACCAAGGCUUCGAUCAGUAGCUGGUCUGAGAGGACGACCAGCCACACUGGGACUGAGACACGGCCCAGACUCCUACGGGAGGCAGCAGUGGGGAAUUUUGGACAAUGGGGGCAACCCUGAUCCAGCCAUGCCGCGUGAGUGAAGAAGGCCUUCGGGUUGUAAAGCUCUUUCAGCCGGAACGAAACGGUUACGGUUAAUACCCGUGACUACUGACGGUACCGGAAGAAGAAGCACCGGCUAACUACGUGCCAGCAGCCGCGGUAAUACGUAGGGUGCGAGCGUUAAUCGGAAUUACUGGGCGUAAAGCGUGCGCAGGUGGUUUUGUAAGUCAGAUGUGAAAUCCCCGGGCUCAACCUGGGAACUGCGUUUGAAACUACAAGGCUAGAGUGUGGCAGAGGGGGGUGGAAUUCCGCGUGUAGCAGUGAAAUGCGUAGAGAUGUGGAGGAACACCGAUGGCGAAGGCAGCCCCCUGGGUCAACACUGACGCUCAGGCACGAAAGCAUGGGGAGCAAACAGGAUUAGAUACCCUGGUAGUCCAUGCCCUAAACGAUGUCAACUAGUUGUCGGGCCUUAACGGGCUUGGUAACGUAGCUAACGCGUGAAGUUGACCGCCUGGGGAGUACGAUCGCAAGAUUAAAACUCAAGGGAAUUGACGGGGACCCGCACAAGCGGUGGAUUAUGUGGAUUAAUUCGAUGCAACGCGAAAAACCUUACCUACCCUUGACAUGUAUCGAAGCCCGCAGAAAAGCGGGGGUGCCCGAAAGGGAACGAUAACACAGGUGCUGCAUGGCUGUCGUCAGCUCGUGUCGUGAGAUGUUGGGUUAAGUCCCGCAACGAGCGCAACCCUUGUCAUUAAUUGCCAUCAUUUAGUUGGGCACUUUAAUGAGACUGCCGGUGACAAACCGGAGGAAGGUGGGGAUGACGUCAAGUCCUCAUGGCCCUUAUGGGUAGGGCUUCACACGUAA